rnacentral:pre_miRNA from 1 species
ACCACUGAGCCAUCUCUCCAGCCCACAGCUUGCUUUCUUUAAAAAAAGAAGGCUGGAGAGAUGGCUCGGUGGU